GAUGAACGCUGGCGGCGUGCCUAAUACAUGCAAGUCGAGCGAACAGAUGAGGAGCUUGCUCCUCUGACGUUAGCGGCGGACGGGUGAGUAACACGUGGAUAACCUACCUAUAAUACUGGGAUAACUUCGGGAAACCGGAGCUAAUACCGGAUAAUAUAUUGAACCGCAUGGUUCAAUAGUGAAAGACGGUUUUGCUGUCACUUAUAGAUGGAUCCGCGCCGCAUUAGCUAGUUGGUAAGGUAACGGCUUACCAAGGCAACGAUGCGUAUCCGACCUGAGAGGGUGAUCGGCCACACUGGAACUGAGACACGGUCCAGACUCCUACGGGAGGCAGCAGUAGGGAAUCUUCCGCAAAGGGCGAAAGCCUGACGGAGCAACGCCGCGUGAGUGAUGAAGGUCUUCGGAUCGUAAAACUCUGUUAUUAGGGAAGAACAAAUGUGUAAGUAACUAUGCACGUCUUGACGGUACCUAAUCAGAAAGCCACGGCUAACUACGUG
rnacentral:rRNA from 1 species